rnacentral:rRNA from 1 species
UCACAUGCAAGUCGAACGAGGUCCAUCCAGUGGCAACACUGGUGAAGGCCUAGUGGCGAACGGGUGAGUAACACGUGAGCAACCUGCCCCGAAGACCGGGAUAACAGUGGGAAACCGCUGCUAAUACCGGAUAUCCCCAUCAGAUCGCAUGGUCAGAUGAGGAAAUGGAUUCCGCUUCGGGAGGGGCUCGCGGCCUAUCAGCUUGUUGGCGGGGUAACGGCCCACCAAGGCGACGACGGGUAGCUGGUCUGAGAGGACGAUCAGCCACACUGGGACUGAGACACGGCCCAGACUCCUACGGGAGGCAGCAGUGGGGAAUCUUGCGCAAUGGGCGAAAGCCUGACGCAGCAACGCCGCGUGAGGGAUGAAUGCCUUCGGGUUGUAAACCUCUUUCAAGCAGGGAAGAUAGUGACGGUACCUGCAGAAGAAGCUCCGGCCAACUACGUGCCAGCAGCCGCGGUAAUACGUAGGGAGCGAGCGUUGUCCGGAUUUAUUGGGCGUAAAGAGCUCGUAGGCGGCUUGGUAAGUCGGAUGUGAAACCUCCAGGCUCAACCUGGAGACGCCAUCCGAUACUGCUAUGGCUAGAGUCCGGUAGGGGCCCACGGAAUUCCUGGUGUAGCGGUGAAAUGCGCAGAUAUCAGGAGGAACACCGGUGGCGAAUGCGGUGGGCUGGGCCGGCACUGACGCUGAGGAGCGAAAGCGUGGGGAGCGAACAGGAUUAGAUACCCUGGUAGUCCACGCCGUAAACGUUGGGCACUAGGUGUGGGACCUUUCACGGGUUCCGUGCCGUAGCUAACGCAUUAAGUGCCCCGCCUGGGGGAGUACGCGCAAGCUUAACUCAAA